rnacentral:rRNA from 1 species
UGCAAGUCGAACGAAGUAGCAAUACUUAGUGGCAGACGGGUGAGUAACAUGUAGGUAUCUGCCCUUUGGCCUGGAAUAACACGAGGAAACUUGUGCUAAUACCGGAUAAGUCUUUACGGAGAAAGCUUUAUGCACCAUUGGAUGAGCCUGCACUUGAUUAGUUUGUUGGUGGGGUAAUGGCCUACCAAGACUGUGAUCAAUAGCUGAUUUGAGAGGAUGAUCAGCCACAUUGGGACUGAGACACGGCCCAAACUCCUACGGGAGGCAGCAGUGGGGAAUCUUGCACAAUGGAGGAAACUCUGAUGCAGCGAUGCCGCGUGAGUGAAGAAGGCCUUUGGGUUGUAAAGCUCUUUCGUCGGGGAAGAAAAUGACUGUACCCGAAUAAGAAGGUCCGGCUAACUUCGUGCCAGCAGCCGCGGUAAUACGAAGGGACCUAGCGUAGUUCGGAAUUACUGGGCUUAAAGAGUUCGUAGGUGGUUGAAAAAGUUGGUGGUGAAAUCCCAGAGCUUAACUCUGGAACUGCCAUCAAAACUUUUCAGCUAGAGUAUGAUAGAGGAAAGCAGAAUUUCUAGUGUAGAGGUGAAAUUCGUAGAUAUUAGAAAGAAUACCAAUUGCGAAGGCAGCUUUCUGGAUCAUUACUGACACUGAGGAACGAAAGCAUGGGUAGCGAAGAGGAUUAGAUACCCUCGUAGUCCAUGCCGUACACGAUGUGUGUUAGACGUUGGAAAUUUAUUUUCAGUGUCGCAGCGAAAGCGAUAAACACACCGCCUGGGGAGUACGACCGCAAGGUUAAAACUCAAAUGAAUUGACGGGGACCCGCACAAGUAGUGGAGCAUGUGGUUUAAUUCGAAGAUACGCGCAGAACCUUACCAACACUUGACAUGUUCGUCGCGACUUUAAGAGAUUAAAGUUUUCGGUUCGGCCGGACGAAACACAGGUGCUGCAUGGCUGUCGUCAGCUCGUGUCGUGA